CAGUCGCCGCGGUAAUACGUAGGUGGCAAGCGUUGUCCGGAAUUAUUGGGCGUAAAGCGCACGUAGGCGGCUUUGUAAGUUAGAGGUGAAAGCCCGGGGCUCAACCCCGGAAUUGCCUUUAAGACUGCAGGGCUAGCAGGUGAGAGAGGUGAGUGGAAUUCCGAGUGUAGAGGUGAAAUUCGUAGAUAUUCGGAAGAACACCAGUGGCGAAGGCGGCUCACUGGCUCAUACUGGACGCUGGGGUGCGAAAGCGUGGGGAGCAAACAGGAUUAGAUACCCCGGUAGUCCCUGUCUCUUAUAC
rnacentral:rRNA from 1 species